AACGAACGCUGGCGGCAUGCCUAACACAUGCAAGUCGAACGAGACCUUCGGGUCUAGUGGCGCACGGGUACGUAACGCGUGGGAACCUGCCCUUAGGUUCGGAAUACCUCCCCGAAAGGGGUGCUAAUACCGGAUAAUGUCUUCGGACCAAAGAUUUAUCGCCUUGGGAUGGGCCCGCGUUGGAUUAGCUAGUUGGUAGGGUAAAAGCCUACCAAGGCGACGAUCCAUAGCUGGUCUGAGAGGAUGAUCAGCCACACUGGGACUGAGACACGGCCCAGACUCCUACGGGAGGCAGCAGUGGGGAAUAUUGGACAAUGGGCGAAAGCCUGAUCCAGCAAUGCCGCGUGAGUGAUGAAGGCCUUAGGGUUGUAAAGCUCUUUUACCCGGGAUGAUAAUGACAGUACCGGGAGAAUAAGCUCCGGCUAACUCCGUG
rnacentral:rRNA from 1 species